GUGGGGAAUCUUGCGCAAUGGGCGAAAGCCUGACGCAGCCAUGCCGCGUGAAUGAUGAAGGUCUUAGGAUUGUAAAAUUCUUUCACCGGGGACGAUAAUGACGGUACCCGGAGAAGAAGCUCCGGCUAACUUCGUGCCAGCAGCCGCGGUAAUACGAAGGGGGCUAGCGUUGCUCGGAAUUACUGGGCGUAAAGGGCGCGUAGGCGGACAGUUUAGUCAGAGGUGAAAGCCCAGGGCUCAACCUUGGAAUUGCCUUUGAUACUGGCUGUCUUGAGUACGGGAGAGGUGAGUGGAACUCCGAGUGUAGAGGUGAAAUUCGUAGAUAUUCGGAAGAACACCAGUGGCGAAGGCGACUCACUGGCCCAUUACUGACGCUGAGGCGCGAAAGCGUGGGGAGCAAACAGGAUUAGAAACCCGUGUAGUCC
rnacentral:rRNA from 1 species